rnacentral:rRNA from 1 species
UGAAAUCUCACCAGGCCCGGACACUGGAAGGAUUGACAGAUUGAUAGCUCUUUCUUGAUUCGGUGCGUGGUGGUGCAUGGCCGUUCUUAGUUGGUUGAGUGAUUUGUCUUGUUAAUUCCGAUAAAGAACGAGACUCUGUCCUGCUAAAUAGUGUCUGCUUCUCUUUCGAGCAGACAAUUCUUCUUAGAGGGACUAUAUGUGUCAAGCAUAUGGAAGUUUGAGGCAAUAA